UACGUAGGUGGCAAGCGUUAUCCGGAAUACUGGGCGUAAAGCGCACGCAGGCGGUCUUUUAAGUUUGACGUGAAAGCUCCCGGCUUAACUGGGAGAGGUCGUUGAAUACUGGAAGACUUGAGGCAAUGAGAGGGGUGUAGAAUUCCCGGUGUAGUGGUGGAAUGCGUAGAUAGUCGGGGGGAAUACCAGUGGCGAAAGCGGCACCCUAGCGUUAGCCUGACGCUCAUGUGCGAAAGCGUGGGGAGCGAACGGGAUAGAACCUGGAUAC
rnacentral:rRNA from 1 species